CCUAGGGGCGGCAGCAGUGGGGAAUAUUGGACAAUGGGCGAAAGCCUGAUCCAGCCAUGCCGCGUGUGUGAAGAAGGCCUUCGGGUUGUAAAGCACUUUCAGUGGGGAAGAAAGCCUUGGGGCUAAUACCCUCGAGGAAGGACAUCACCCACAGAAGAAGCACCGGCUAACUCCGUGCCAGCAGCCGCGGUAAUACGGAGGGUGCGAGCGUUAAUCGGAAUUACUGGGCGUAAAGCGCGCGUAGGCGGUCUGAUAAGCCGGUUGUGAAAGCCCCGGGCUCAACCUGGGAACGGCAUCCGGAACUGUCAGGCUAGAGUGCAGGAGAGGAAGGUAGAAUUCCCGGUGUAGCGGUGAAAUGCGUAGAGAUCGGGAGGAAUACCAGUGGCGAAGGCGGCCUUCUGGACUGACACUGACGCUGAGGUGCGAAAGCGUGGGUAGCAAACAGGAUUAGAUACCCUUGUAGUC
rnacentral:rRNA from 1 species